CCUACGGGUGGCAGCAGUGAGGAAUAUUGGUCAAUGGAGGCGACUCUGAACCAGCCAAGUAGCGUGCAGGAUGACGGCCCUAUGGGUUGUAAACUGCUUUUAUAUGGGAAUAAACCGUUCCACGUGUGGGUUAUUGUAGGUACCGCAUGAAUAAGGAUCGGCUAAUUCCGUGCCAGCAGCCGCGGUAAUACGGAGGGUCCGAGCGUUAUCCGGAUUUAUUGGGUUUAAAGGGAGCGUAGGUGGCUCCUUAAGUGAGUUGUGAAAGUCUGCGGCUCAACCGUAGAAUUGCAGCUGAAACUGGGGGGCUUGAGUACAGUAGAGGUGGGCGGAAUGCGUGGUGUAGCGGUGAAAUGCUUAGAUAUCACGAAGAACUCCGAUUGCGAAGGCAGCUCACUGGAGUGUUACUGACGCUGAGGCUCGAAAGUGUGGGUAUCAAACAGGAUUAGAUACCCGAGUAGUC
rnacentral:rRNA from 1 species